AGAGUUUGAUCCUGGCUCAGGAUGAACGCUGGCGGCGUGCUUAACACAUGCAAGUCGAACGGGGAUGCUUAUGGAAGGAGUGCUUGCACUUUGGAAAUGACUAUCUUAGUGGCGGACGGGUGAUUAACGCGUGGGUAACCUGCCCCAUACCGGGGGAUACCACCUGAAAACAGGUGCUAAUACCGCAUAAGCGCACGGGAGCGCAUGCUCCUGUGUGAAAAACUCCGGUGGUAUGGGAUGGACCCGCGUCUGAUUAGCCAGUUGGCAGGGUAAUGGCCUACCAAAGCGACGAUCAGUAGCCGGCCUGAGAGGGUGGACGGCCACAUUGGGACUGAGACACGGCCCAAACUCCUACGGGAGGCAGCAGUGGGGAAUAUUGCACAAUGGGGGAAACCCUGAUGCAGCGACGCCGCGUGAGUGAAGAAGUAUUUCGGUAUGUAAAGCUCUAUCAGCAGGAACGAGACAAGACGGUACCUGACUAAGAAGCCCCGGCUAACUACGUGCCAGCAGCCGCGGUAAUACGUAGGGGGCAAGCGUUAUCCGGAAUCACUGGGUGUAAAGGGAGCGUAGACGGCUGAGCAAGCCUGAAGUGAAAGGCGGGGGCCCAACCCCCGGACUGCUUUGGGAACUGUACGGCUGGAGUGCAGGAGAGGUAAGUGGAAUUCCUAGUGUAGCGGUGAAAUGCGUAGAUAUUAGGAGGAACACCAGUGGCGAAGGCGGCUUACUGGACUGUAACUGACGUUGAGGCUCGAAAGCGUGGGGAGCAAACAGGAUUAGAUACCCUGGUAGUCCACGCCGUAAA
rnacentral:rRNA from 1 species